rnacentral:lncRNA from 1 species
UAAAUAUUCAAAGAAGAGGCAUAAAUUCACUAUAUUAAUAAAGUUUUACAACACAAAUAACCAAUUCAACGCAUAUAUAAUUCUUAGAACAAAAUCUGACAAUACAAAAAUAUUAUAAUAUAUAGUCACAAGCUAUGUUCCCCUUUUAAGCAUUUCUUCAUAGUUCUCUAUCGACUCCAGCCUCUGAAGAAGUAAUUGCUGCUUGAAUUUCUUGAUGAAUGCCUCAGCACUUUCAUUUAUAUCUUCUGUUGUCUUCCUCUCGAGCUUACUGGUUUGUGGCAUCGGGUUUUUUGCCGGAGUCACAUUGGCUGCCUUGUCGUGCUGCAAAUCCAUAUUUCUAAGUUCGUUAUUUUCUUCUUCGGCUACUCGUGAUUGGAGGUAGAGAGGUUUCAUGGAGCUAUUCAUUAGAGCUUCUCUUUUCUUUUGAAUGAACAAGUCUCAAUUGAUUUCUAAUUGCCAAACUGAAUAGGAGGUCCAUAUUGAUAGAUGUAACUUUGUGUCAAGGUUACUUUGGGAAAAGGAAAAUUGAAUGUGAUUGCGUGUGAUAAUUGCAAAUUUGUUGCAUGGGCUCUUUCUUCUUUCAAGAGAAAAUGAUUUCAAUAGACGAAAAGUCUAUAUUAG